CGUAUGUGUAGCUGUGUGCCUCACAGGACUGUUUCUCGUCGUCGUCGUCGUUGUUUUUUGUUUAAGUGUUUGUUUUGUUUUUCUUCAUUAGUAAAAGAAGAUGAGCAUCCACAUUCCCGCUGCGCCUUGGUCCCAUCUUUACGACGAACGUGACAGAGAAUGACAGGGAACUUGAAAUAUUCCCUGCUGCUAUCUACUGGAGCAUCUGUCAGGCCUCGCACAUGGAUGUAUUUUGAGCUGGUGACAGACAGUCAGCACCCAAUAGCAGACAGAGGAAUAAAGCCUGAUGGUGAAAUAUCUCCAUGGCCUAGCAUUCUGAGAAUAUCUGCUACUGACUAUUCGAAGACUCCAUAGAACCUUCCCUUGCUAUCCAAGUUCCUGAUCGUGUGAAAUGUAUUUUAGUGUGUGAAAUGUACUUUUACUGUUGGUAGAUUUACUUUAUUAAUCAUUCAUAGAAUGUACAUGCAGGUGAACAUUUACACAUACAUAAUAUGCAUGAGUGCACAAUUGGUGGAACACUAAGUCAAUGUGAUGUGAGUUAAUGUAUUCCAGUAUAAAAUUGUGAUUUUCACUAUAUUGCAUAAUAAAGAG
rnacentral:lncRNA from 1 species